rfam:TPA: Bos taurus chromosome 20, whole genome shotgun sequence.
UCCCCGGUGGCUUAGAUGGUAAAGAGUCUGCCUGCAAUGCAGGAGACCCGGGUUCAAUUCCCGGGUCAGGAA